rnacentral:sRNA from 1 species
GCCGGGUUUGGUGAUGCACACCUGUAAUCCCAGUGGCUCAGGAGGCUGAGGCAAUAUAAUCUUGAGUUCAAAGCCAGCCCCAGCAAAUUAGCAAGACCCUAAGCAACUCAUGAGAUCCUGUCUCUA